rnacentral:sRNA from 1 species
ACGAUCAUAAGCCCCACUCCUCUUCCAAUGUUUUAUAGAGUUUUUCAUCUUACACAUCAGAGAAAUUGACUUCAGAUUUCAUAGGUAGACAAAAAGACUAGUAGUUCUUGAUACGGCGGGGUGGGGGUGUUCUACUCACCCUGAGGGGCGUGGUGAAGGCCUCGUGGAACUCGUCGCUGAUCCUCCGGAGCUCUCUCCCCACGGCCUGCUCUUGUUGCUGGCGGAGGGAUGGGACGUCCGGGAGAGAGACCGAGCGGUCACGUGACGUCGGAAUGAUGUCAGGAAGUGGACUAGAAGAGGACGGAUGUUGAUCCUCCGCCGAAUUAUGGCGGUUUCUGGUCAGGGAAUCUGUAGAUAAAGCAAAGAUUUAAAAAGUGUCAAACUUUUUGUGUGAAGAACUAAAAUAUCAUAUUUUCGAUAUAUUUUGUUCGAAUAGUUUCUUCUGUAUGAAAGAAUUGUUAUGAUAUGAUAACAAUGUGUAAUUGGUUGCCAAUUUCCGCAAUGCCAUUAUAUAAACUGAUUUAGUAAUAGUUUAAAUAAUCAAAGUUUCAAAGACGGAAUGGUUGUGUGUUGACUUUGAGAUAAUGGACAAUAGUCUACAUGGAAUAAAACACAUGAUCAUGGUGAUCGAUAGCGAUCUACAAGUCUAUUUAUAUCGCUGAUGUAAUCAUACCUGGAGAGUGUGAGCAGGUAAACCCUCGUUGGGGUUUACCCUUAGGUAAAUGCAGGUGUAACUACAAAGACCUUGAUUUUGAACAUUGAACUUGAUUGAAGAUAAAAAUUCUAAUCCAACUUCUAGCUUAUUUGUUUACACAAGAGACAUAUUACAUCAACAGAAUAUCUAUCCGAAUGAUUGAUUAGAAGAGCUGUGUCAACCUCUUGUCAGGCCGACCUCAUUUAUAUCAGCAGAAGACAGUUACCCUGGCGACGAACUUUCGUCUCAUGGAGUACUAAUAACCUAGAUUUGUAAUCAUUAUUAUUAGUACCCUCGUCAACCAUGUAGUUUUGCGGGCCCCUGAUCUUACAAUGACACACGAAGAGCAGAGCUGGGAGUUCACCACUUCAGAAAUGCAUGCAGUUUCCGCGCCACAUUUCCGCAAUGACUAUCAUCUGAUUCACGAUUUUGGCAUUAUUUCAGAACUAUAAGUCUCACAUUAUGAACUGAAUUGCUGGUCAAUAAACUUUUCAUACUUAUUAUAUACACAUCAUCUCGAGUAUAUUGAGUUCACGAGGGAGGGAAUUAGUCUAAAAUUGGUUCCAAAUGCACUUAUAACAUAUAUGAAAAAAGUAAAACAACAUAUAUAACACUAACCUCGUACAUGUCCAUAGGGGUGAAAACGGUCUAUGACAUCGUGGACAAUUUGGCAGGUGGGGUUCGGAGUCUGGGUCCCCACGGACCGGUUCACGAUUGGUCGGAAAUAAACUCCAUUCCUCCUAACUCGGCUACGAGUCCGCUGCACACACGGUGACGAUAUACACGACUCACUGCUUAUUCCCUGUAUUAAAUCCAACUCCAUCUCUGCCUCCCCUCCCCGUGGGAAGGGUGCAGAGGGCCGGUUGGGCACGGGGAUCGAGGGAUGAAGCCCGGGGGAACUAGGAUUGGACAGGACCAUUUCCACUUCCUGGUCACUGAUAUCUCCGGACACUGGGUCCUCUAAUUCACCGGAAUUCUCUAAACUUUCCUGUGCAGAGGGCUCAUCUGACAAUGGCGAUGAUGGGAUGUCAUCAAAACUAAACAUGAGCUGGUUUCCAAGGGCAGCACUUGCUGGUGAAUUGUCUGUGCCAUAUCCACUGUCGCGUUUUCCGGAAGAUGGUCUCUUAAUUUUCUUGUCCUUGGAACACACAGAAAAGGCUGAAGGGCUCUCGUCUGGUUCGUCUACUUCAAAAUUCUCUUUAGGAUUUCCUUUAGAAGACUGUUGCAUGUUGAACUACAUCAGGAUUCUGUAGAAUUAAUCUAAGCUGUAUUUCAAGUUAUCAAAAAAUAGCCAUCUUUAUCUUACACUCGAUGCUAGAGAAAUGUCUUAAUAAUUGAUGUUCACUGCAUAAAUUCAAAACAAAGCUGGACGCUUGCCAAUUUUAAGUUUACGUUUGGAAGGAUAAAAAAUAUACUGUACAGAAUUUAGUACCGACAUCACUUCUUCUGUUUUAACAUGUUCUAUUUUUCAUUAUACGUUAAUGUAUUUCACAACAUGGAAAUGAAAAUUUACAUUUUGUAUAUAUAAUUAAACAUUACGUCAUAUUAAUUAUAGUAUUUUCUAUUACAUAAUUAAUAUGCACAAAAU